rnacentral:rRNA from 1 species
CCUACGGGAGGCAGCAGUGGGGAAUAUUGCACAAUGGGCGAAAGCCUGAUGCAGCAACGCCGCGUGAGGGAUGAAGGCCUUCGGGUUGUAAACCUCUUUUAGCAGGGAAGAAGCGAAAGUGACGGUACCUGCAGAAAAAGCACCGGCUAACUACGUGCCAGCAGCCGCGGUAAUACGUAGGGUGCAAGCGUUGUCCGGAAUUAUUGGGCGUAAAGAGCUCGUAGGCGGUUUGUCGCGUCUGCUGUGAAAAUCCGAGGCUCAACCUCGGACCUGCAGUGGGUACGGGCAAACUAGAGUGCGGUAGGGGAGAUGGGAAUUCCUGGUGUAGCGGUGGAAUGCGCAGAUAUCAGGAGGAACACCGAUGGCGAAGGCACAUCUCUGGGCCGUAACUGACGCUGAGGAGCGAAAGCGUGGGGAGCGAACAGGAUUAGAUACCCU